CAGGAGGAUGGAGAUGAGUCA
rnacentral:miRNA from 1 species